rnacentral:misc_RNA from 1 species
GGAUGGCUUGAAUUUGCCAUACCAUAUCAAAUUGACAGAUAUUUUACCAGAAAGAAGUGCACCCUUGUGGUAGUGCAAGAGCUGAGUUUGUUCUACUAAUGCAGUUAGCUUUCUUGAAGCAAAACACACAUUGAUGAAAGAAAUCAAUACAAAAAGUGAUAAAAUGAAAUGGGAAGAAGUAGACAUUUUCUUUAUCUCUUUAGUAUUACUCUAGAAAAACAGUAUUGAAAAUCUAAAUUGAAA